rnacentral:rRNA from 1 species
UACGGGGGGAGCAAGCGUUGUUCGGAUUUACUGGGCGUAAAGGGCGCGUAGGCGGCCUCCGCAAGUCAGUUGUGAAAUCUCCGAGCUUAACUCGGAAAGGUCAACUGAUACUGCGGGGCUAGAGUGCGGAAGGGGCAACUGGAAUUCUUGGUGUAGCGGUGAAAUGCGUAGAUAUCAAGAGGAACACCUGCGGCGAAGGCGGGUCUCUGGGCCGAUACUGACGCUGAGGAGCGAAAGCGUGGGGAGCGAACAGG